rnacentral:rRNA from 1 species
UACGUAGGGCGCAAGCGUUAUCCGGAAUUAUUGGGCGUAAAGAGCUCGUAGGCGGUUUGUCGCGUCUGCCGUGAAAGUCCGGGGCUCAACUCCGGAUCUGCGGUGGGUACGGGCAGACUAGAGUGAUGUAGGGAAGACUGGAAUUCCUGGUGUAGCGGUGAAAUGCGCAGAUAUCAGGGGGAACACCGAUGGCGAAGGCAGGUCUCUGGGCCGAAACUGACGCUGAGGAGCGAAAGCGUGGGGAGCGAACAGG